AUUGAACGCUGGCGGCAGGCCUAACACAUGCAAGUCGAAAGAGUGGCGGACGGGUGAGUAAUGUCUGGGCAACUGCCCGAUGGAGGGGGAUAACUCCUGGCAACGGUAGCUCAUACCGCCUACCAUCGGAUUUGCCCAGAUGGGAUUAGCUAGUAGGUGGGGUAAUGGCUACCCUAGGCGACGAUCCCUAGCUGGUCUGAGAGGAUGACCAGCCACACGGGAACUGAGACACGGUCCAGACUCCUCCGGGAGGCAGCAGUGGGGAAUAUUGCACAAUGGGCGCAAGCCUGAUGCAGCCAUGCAGCGUGUAUGAAGAAGGCCUUCGGGUUGUAAAGUACUUGCAGCGAGGAGGCGUUACUCGCAGAAGAAGCACCGGCUAACGCCGUGCCAGCCGCCGCGGUAAUAC
rnacentral:rRNA from 1 species